GAAAUGCGAUAAGUAAUGUGAAUUGCAGAAUUCAGUGAAUCAUCGAAUCUUUGAACGCACAUUGCGCCCGCCAGCACUCUGGCGGGCAUGUCUGUUCGAGCGUCAUUUCAACCCUCAGAACCCCUUGCGGGAUCUGGCGUUGGGGAUUGGCAUCCAGCCAGCCCCGAAAUCUAGUGGCGGUCCCUCCGCGACCUCCCCUGUGCAGUAGCGAUACCUCGCAGCGGGACAGCGGUCUGACCACGCUGUAAAACCCCCAACUUCUCAAGGUUGACCUCGAAUCAGGUAGGAAUACCCGCUGAACUUAAGC
rnacentral:misc_RNA from 1 species